GUUUAACGGCCGCGGUAUUUUGACCGUGCAAAGGUAGCGCAAUCACUUGUCUUUUAAAUAAAGACCUGUAUGAAUGGCAUAACGAGGGCUAAACUGUCUCCUUACCCCAGUUAAUGAAAUUGAUCCUCCCGUGCAGAAGCGGGAAUUAACACAUAAGACGAGAAGACCCUGUGGAGCUUUAGAUAAAUAGAUGAAUUUAUUAAACAUCAAGACCAUAUAAAAGGUAAUUUAAACAAUAACCUCAUCUUAAAUCUUCAGUUGGGGCGACCGCGGAGCAAAACAAAACCUCCGUGAGGAUUGAGGCAAAAGCCUUACACCCAAGAAUGUCAUUUCUAAGUACCAAAACAUUUGACCUAUAGAUCCGGCAUACAGCCGAUCAACGAACCUAGUUACCCCAGGGAUAACAGCGCAAUCCUCUUUGAGAGUCCCUAUCGACAAGAGGGUUUACGACCUCGAUGUUGGAUCAGGACAUCCUAAUGGUGUAG
rnacentral:rRNA from 1 species